AGUGCUGUGAAGGUGACAGCGUGAGGUGACCCAGCUGGCCCCCCGCGAUGCUGGCAGCACGGCGGCUGCUCGGCUGGUCGCUUCCCGCGCGGGUAUCUGUGCGUUUCAGCGGUGACACGGUGAGGCCCGGCCUGGCUGGGGCCACGGGUGUUCGGGGCCGGGUGUCGCGGCCGCCCCUGUGCACGAGCAGUCCCUGGGGUCUGUAGUGGCCUCUGGAGAGCCCUUCUCCCCAGGCCAGGUGGGAAGGCCCUCGCUUCGGCCUGGUUGAAGUAGGGGAACGGGUCCCAACGCGGGGCCGACUCCCUUGGCCCUCUGGCUUGCUGGCUUCCCUUGUUUCACGGUCCUCGGCCUGGCGGAAGUUUUGCGGGUUAUGAAGUGCCCUAGUCUUUCAUUCCCUCCUUGUCACAGCCUUGUAGGGCGUGAAGGGGUCAUUGCCCCAUUUAGGGAUGCGCACCUCCUGAUUUCCCGUCCACUGCUCUGCGCCCUGAAGUGGCUGAAAAGUGCUCUUAAAAGGAUGGGAAUCCCGUCGCCCUCAGCUGCACCCAAGAAAACCUCAUUUGGCUCGCUGAAGGAU
rnacentral:sRNA from 1 species